AGAGAGAAGAUCCAUGCUGAUCGGAACCCACCACUACCCCAAACGGACUUCGCCACCAUAACCCAGAGAGAUUUUCGAGUUGACGGAUUUGUCCCCCAAACGAGUAAAAUCACACAUCUUCAUGAUUAUAAAACAGAGCAGGCCAUCAGCUACUGGAGUGAAAAUUACCAGCAGGUACAGGGUGUGACUGCAGUAGAAAGCCCCAAUACUCCCUUCAGAAAGUGCGCCCAGUUCUCCACACCCAUUGAGGAGCAACGGGAAGAAAUCGAGCUCACCAUUGAGUAACUUUCCACCUUGAGGAUACCAAGGCGUUCCCAGGCCAGUUUUGAGACAUGAUGCCUGUGACACUCUCGGCGGAGGCCAACGUUGGAAACAGUCUCCACUAUCUGCUGGCAAUGCUAAUCAGGCUUGUACAAGAACCGAAUGACAUGUGGUCAUGUGCCACCAACCCAUAGUCCUGAAAGUGUACUGAGCUAUAAAAAUGCAUCUAUAGGUGCAUUAAUAUCGCAAAAUUAUUUCAUUCUCCUUUCUUUAAAUUAAUUGUUGCCGCUAGUUAAAAAGCUGAAGCCUCUCGCAGAAGAUGAAGCUUCAUUAAACUUCAAAGAGUGAACCUCUCCUGCGUCGAAACACUGCAAUGUCGCUUGGGAAUUUUCUACCAAUACUCAUAAUAUGUGCUGUGUCAAUCACAGGACAAUGCCAGGAGCUGCUGAUCCUUUCUGAGCAUUCAGCAAGGAUUAGUGGGCGGUAGCUAUGGCGACAAUUCAUUUAAGCUUCAACGCAUGCAGGUUUUUCUGUCGGAACAUUAGACGAUGCAGGGAAUUCCACUUAUAGAGAUAAAUAUGUUUCAUGACAUUGAAAGGCACAGGUUUGUUUGAACAUUGCAAGCCACCGCUUAUAUGUUUGUUUUCAGGUAAAGAUAGAGAUUUGGCAAAGUUUGGCUAGUAUAUGGCCAAUUGCCAAGGAUGAGAAGAAAGACAUAAAAAUCCCAUUAGUGCUCAUUCCCUCAAGUCAGCAAUCAACUACAACUACAGGUGGGGAACUCACGCCCCCAUGCUGCUGAGACUAAUCAAACUAAUCACUUGACGUGGAUGAAAUCAAAGCAAGUCGUGAGGGGGGAUCGUUCACUGCUGGGUCUUCGGGUUAAUUACAGGGUUUAAAAAAAUGUAAAUAUCUCAAAAAUCUAAAAAGAAUCUCGAUUAAAAUGUGACUUACAUUUAUAACUUUAUUCUCGAAAUCUCAGAUUUUAAAAAUGAUUAAAAACGAGGCAAUGGUUUAGUGUUUUUGUUCCUUUUUAACGCCUUAAUUCCGGAUUAUAUGCUCUUAUUUUGUAUUACUUCCGUUUCUGCUCCGUCCUAGUUUCCUUUUUUUUACCUUUCUGUUCUCACGCACCUGCUUUCAAUUUGUGUUAAUUGGGAUUAUCUGAGCAUUGUUAAUGGUUACUGUUGUGGCGUCCUGACACUGCUUAACAGCAUCAAUAGUUAUAAUAAUAUAAUAAUUUUAAUCCAAAACUUUUACCUGCACUUUGGGGUCUCAUCCUUUGCAUCCUGAGGUCGAGCUAAAAACAUCACAGUGCAAUGACGUCACAGCAAUGUUGACAACGCCGGAACACACGAACAACCUGACUCUGGUUUCUGGAAACACCGGCAUGCUUUUGGCACAGGCACAACCAUGCCCCAAACCAUUUUUGAGGGUUUUUCACCUAGUACCCAGGAGGGUACUAAGUGUCCAGGAGGUGAAACCUGUUCAUGAGUGUCCAUAUAUCUCACAAAAGGUUGCGGGGGGUGCUGGAGCCUAUCCCAGCUGUCUUCGGGCGAGAGGCGGGGUACACCCUGGACUGGUCUCCUAGCUGUGAGAGUAUCAUCCCUCGAGAAGAUUUGACUCACCUGUGUGAAUACCUAUCCUGAGUCUCAGCUGGUCGUUGGGUCUGUGGCGGAUCUUGAACGUUUUCACCUGCUCUAACAAGGCCAGCGACAUCCCAGCAAUCUCCCUGGCAUGGAGUUUCCCAUUCCGCACCGGCAGCCCUGACACCACCAUGUAUGCGUCGCCAAUGGUCUCCACCUGAGGGAGGAGCAAAGUCAUCAUCUUCACGUACUUCGUACUGUCCAGCGCUGAAAUUUCGACUUACCUUGUAUACAUCAAAGUUAUCAAUUAUGGCAUCAAAACAGGUGUACAGGUCGUUGAGUAACGUGACCACCUAAGAGGGAAAGGACACUCGGUGAAGCUACAAUAGAAAUGAAUGAAUGAUGACCAUGUUUACCAAAUAUUAAUGGGUGCAAUUUGUUGGCUGUGGAAAGUAGGACAUGAUUAAAAUAAAUAAUAGUGUAAUAAUAAUAAUAAUAGUUCCAUUUUACCUAAAAAAUGACACCAUGUACACUCAGUAACAUUGUGUCUCUUGCUGUUUGGACUAACCUGAUGGUGCAACCCUAAUUGGAUAAAUAUGAGCACACAAAGAGGCCAAAUGCAAUAGUUCAUUGGGAGGUCAUUCCUCCACAUAUGAGGGUGUAUAAGCUUGUCAGCUAUCACUUGCUGACUCUCUGCUUGGACAUCAUUAUCGUGUUUCCCUGGUGAGAAAGCUUUAGAACUGGAGCUGGUGGGAGCCAUGUAGCACAAUGUCUCAAUGACUCAACUCUGCAUCAACAUUUUCGAUUUGGGAAAGUGUAGGACUCACUGCAGAAAGGAAGUUAAAAAUGGUACACUGGCAAAUAGAAAGUUAGUUGAGAAUUACAGCUUACUGAUCUUUUACUCAAUACUUAGGUACUUACGAUAUACUAUAUAUUCUGUAUCUAUUUAUCACAUAUGAAAUAUUUACAGUAUCUCUUCAUUAUCAUUGUGUAUGGUAGUUUUACUCUAGUACUUUGUAUUUUUAAUUCUUUUAUUAUUAAAUUAACGCUGUUUAUCAUCAGUGCCGGGCAAAUUUAAAACAGUAAAUAGUUAUAGUUGCUACCGGUACUUACUUUUCCUUGCAAUUCUCUAUCACGUGGUUAUCUUGCUGGGUGUUAGCAUGCUAACUAUUAGCUUUUUACCCAUGCAUACCCAUGUCAAAUUAGCAUUUUAGCAUGUUUUCCUGAUGUCUAAAUGUAAAUACAUACAAAGGGACACUGUAGAACUGCCUUGGCUGUGUCUGUACUGAGCUGCUAGCAUGUUAAGUGUUAGCAUGUUAACAUUUAGCUAUUUAUUUAUGUCUUAUUUAUGUCAGCAUUCUAGCUUUUUUUCUCAUUUCUAAAUGCAAAUAAAUACUCCACCAACAUAUUGUAGGGAUACUAGAAC